UGCAGUCGAGGGGCAGCAUAAUGGAUAGCAAUAUCUAUGGUGGCGACCGGCGCACGGGUGCGUAACGCGUAUGCAACCUACCUUUAACAGGGGGAUAACACUGAGAAAUUGGUACUAAUACCCCAUAAUAUCAUAGAAGGCAUCUUUUAUGGUUGAAAAUUCCGAUGGUUAGAGAUGGGCAUGCGUUGUAUUAGCUAGUUGGUGGGGUAACGGCUCACCAAGGCGACGAUACAUAGGGGGACUGAGAGGUUAACCCCCCACACUGGUACUGAGACACGGACCAGACUCCUACGGGAGGCAGCAGUGAGGAAUAUUGGUCAAUGGACGCAAGUCUGAACCAGCCAUGCCGCGUGCAGGAUGACGGCUCUAUGAGUUGUAAACUGCUUUUGUACGAGGGUAAACGCAGAUACGUGUAUCUGUCUGAAAGUAUCGUACGAAUAGGGAUCGGCUAACUCCGUGCCAGCAGCCGCGGUAAUACGGAGGAUUCAAGCGUUAUCCGGAUUUAUUGGGUUUAAAGGGUGCGUAGGCGGUUUGAUAAGUUAGAGGUGAAAUUUCGGGGCUCAACCCUGAACGUGCCUCUAAUACUGUUGAGCUAGAGAGUAGUUGCGGUAGGCGGAAUGUAUGGUGUAGCGGUGAAAUGCUUAGAGAUCAUACAGAACACCGAUUGCGAAGGCAGCUUACCAAACUAUAUCUGACGUUGAGGCACGAAAGCGUGGGGAGCAAACAGGAUUAGAUACCCUGGUAGUCCACGCAGUAAACGAUGAUAACUCGUUGUCGGCGAUACACAGUCGGUGACUAAGCGAAAGCGAUAAGU
rnacentral:rRNA from 1 species